UUUGAACCUCUCAUAGCUUGAUCCUCCAAGGUGCUGAGUGCCCUCAACUAAUGGGAAUGAAGGGCACUCAGCACCUUGCAUAACUGGGCCCUUAUUGCCUCUUUUUAUGACACAAAAUCAUUUAACAACCAGCCGAGAUUUGUCCUAUAAAGAUUUAUCCAAUAUUUGUUGUAGUUAAAGGUUGAAAUGAAAUUAAUGUAACUCAGUAAAGAGAAAAUAUUUAUGCAUGUGAGAGGACUAAGGAGAUUGCAAAUCAAACAGCCAUUGUAUCCCUAGUACUACCAGAUCCCCAAACAAAAAUGUGAAAUAUCUGAGUGGGAGAAAGAAAAGAAAACUUUUUUCCAACCUGCUGAAAAAAAUGAUGCUCACAUGAUAGCUAGAUACAUCAAGGGUAACAAGAAAACAAUCUACAAAUACAUUAGAAGCACCAGGAAGACCAAGGACAAGAUAUGUAUCUGUUGGACAAUCAAAGGAGCUACUUCAUUCCUAUGGACCCCAAAUUGAAUCCAACAUAUAUUCUAUACUAGUACAUUUAUUAAAGUACUAAUUAAAUGCUAAAUGUUAAUUUGUUAACAUUGAGACCAUGGAUGGAGACAUUAUGUAACCUUUUGACCAUUGGCUACUGUGCUAUCAUGUCUUGCAGCUAGACUUAUCCGGGGGUGUGGGACUGCCUACUCCGUCACUUUCCCCACCCAUGGAAAAUCCAUAUAUUCCAUUGUAAUCAAUUGAUUGACAGUGUCUCUGAGCCUAAUAAGUGAGGUGACACUCCGUCUGCGCUGUACGUAAUAAACUCCUUUGCUUGACCUCUA